AUGGCUGGGCGGCGGAGUGGAGGCUGCAGUGGGACCUGCGCCUGGUCACUGUGGUCUGCUCUGGGGUGUUCAACACGGGCGCCACGUUCGUGCUCAUGCCGUAGGCCGUGGCGCGGCCGCGGACCUGUGUACCCGCCCGUGUUCAACUCCCUGUCGUUUGUGGCCACCACAGCCGUCGACGCUGUCGUGCUCGUCACCGACUUCUGCCUCGAUGGCGUGCUCGGGGCGGCGCUCGUCGUCGUCGGCCUCUACGCGUUCCUCUGGGGCAAGACCAAGGAGCUCGCCGCCGCCGCCAAGGGAGACAACGGCGAGCAGGAGCUGCGGCGCGGAGACGCCGACGACCGCAUCGCGACAGCAUCGUCGAUGGAACUUGAGAUUGUCAUUUAA
rnacentral:rRNA from 1 species